rnacentral:rRNA from 1 species
CCUACGGGAGGCUGCAGUGGGGGAUAUUGCACAAUGGGGGGAACUCUGAUGCAGCGACGCCGCGUGGGUGAAGGAGCGUUUCGGCGCGUAAAACCCUAUCGGCAGAGGAGUAGGAGGACGGUACCUGACUAAGAAGCCCCGGCUAACUACGUGCCAGCAGCCGCGGUAAUAGGGAGGAUGCGAGCGUUAUCCGGAUUUAUUGGGUUUAAAGGGUGCGUAGGCGGGCUGUUAAGGCAGCGGUAAAAAUUCGGGGCUCAACCCCGUCUGGCCGUUGAUACUGGGGGCCUUGAGUGGGCGAGAAGAAGGCGGAAUGCGUGGUGUAGCGGUGAUAUGCAUAGAUAUCACGCAGAACCCCGAUUGCGAAGGCAGCCUUCCGGCGUCCUACUGACGCUGAGGCACGAAAGUGCGGGGAUCGAACAGGAUUAGAUACCCUGGUAGUC